rnacentral:rRNA from 1 species
CCUACGGGGGGCAGCAGUGAGGAAUAUUGGUCAAUGGACGGAAGUCUGAACCAGCCAUGCCGCGUGCAGGAUGACGGCUCGAUGAGUGGUAAACGGCGUUUGUAGGAGGGUAAACAACACUACGUGUAGGGGCUUGAAAGUAUAAUACGAAUAAGGAUAGGAUAACUCCGUGCCAGCAGCCGCGGUAAUACGGAGGGGCCAAGCGUUAUCCGGAUUUAUUGGGUUUAAAGGGUGCGUAGGCGGUUUGAUAAGUUAGAGGUGAAAUCCCGGUGCUCAACCCCGGAACUGCCUCUAAUACUGUUGACCUAGAGCGUAGUUGCGGUAGGCGUAAUGUCUGGUGUAGCGGUGAAAUGCUUAGCGAUCCUCC